rnacentral:rRNA from 1 species
CUGCGGGACGCUGCAGUGAGGAAUAUUGCACAAUGGGGGAAACCCUGAUGCAGCAACGCCGCGUGGAGGAUGACGCAUUUCGGUGUGUAAACUCCUUUUAUAUGUCAAGAAAAUGACGGUAGCAUAUGAAUAAGCACCGGCUAACUCCGUGCCAGCAGCCGCGGUAAUACGGAGGGUGCAAGCGUUACUCGGAAUCACUGGGCGUAAAGGACGCGUAGGCUGGUUGGUAAGUCAGGUGUGAAAUCCUACAGCUUAACUGUAGAACUGCACUUGAAACUACCAACCUAGAGUAUGGGAGGGGGAGAUGGAAUUAGUGGUGUAGGGGUAAAAUCCGUAGAUAUCACUAGGAAUACCGAAAGCGAAGGCGAUCUCCUGGAACAUAACUGACGCUAAGGCGUGAAAGCGUGGGGAGCAAACAGGAUUAGAUACCCCAGUAGUC